rnacentral:tRNA from 1 species
AAAAGAUUAGUUUAUAUAUUUAAAAUAUUAGAUUGUAAAUCUAUAGAAUUUUCUUUUA